CCCAACACGUAAAUUAAAACCCCUAACUCUUUCUACUCUAAUCAAAACCUAACAGCCCUACCCAAAUCCCUACACUCCUCUUCAAACGAACAACCCUAACCAAACGACGCCAUCUCCCAUCACCGCCGGUUCCAUCGACGGACCAGCGUACAAAAGCCAUCCUUGACGCCACCACCAUCACGUCUCUUCAGUCCCCUCACCCUCUCUACGCGAUUAUAGAGCCAUUAAUACUCUGCAAACUAGCUUGUUCAACUUCCAAAAAGGGAAAAUGUGAGACUCUUGUGAAUACAAGGAUGAUUCGAUGGAUAACUGCCUCACCCCAUCUUCAGAGUUCGGUUUGCUGAGAAAACUUUCGGAUUUUUGGCCCCAACAGCUCUUUCCUUUCACUUCACCUCUAAAAAAGUUCUUGGCUGAGCAAACACCACUUCAAGCGGAUUCGGAGAUUCGACAACUACAAUAGCCUCAGUUCGCUGUCCCGGAGAAGGUCAGUAAUCCACCUAAAUUUCUUCUCAUUUCAGUUCUUAGAUAAAUAUCUAGUUGCUUGGAUGUUAUCGUCGUUCAUUUAUUUUAUGUUUUAAGUGUAUAAUUAGAACCUGUAAAUCUUGUUUCCUUCUUUAGUUUUCUGUUUAAAGGGUGUUAGAAUCUGCUUCUCGUUAUUUUGAUGAAAGAUCAGUAUGUAAAACUUAAAACAAAGGAAUUACGACGUUUCUGAAGGAAACUACUGAUUUGCACAAGUUUGAACUAAUCGAAACUCGCUGACGUUGGGGUAACGUUAUUGCUUGUAAAUCUUUUACUUCAUUGCUCAGAAGAGGUUAUUGUUUUCCCUGCCAGCUCUACUCUUCGAAAUUUGGAAUUUUGAGUGUGUUGAGAUGCAAGAAUAUGUCGCCAGUUAUAUUUUUUUUGACAUGUUGUAAAUAGCCUAGUCUUCAAGUUCUUUUAAAGAAAUAGAAUGCUCGAAUAAAUUAUCAAGAGACUCUGUCUUUCCUCUACCAUCAGACAUCGUGCUCGUUAGAUAUAAAAAUGUGAGUGUGUGUUUUGUUUCGUGACCAUGGAAAGCCAUGAUUUAGCAUAUUAUUUUACCAUGUUUGUAGUUGAGGUCAUAACUUAGUUAAUGAGAUAAUAGAUUAUUGCAGGUCCAUAACGAGAAGAAUAUUUUGUGUGUAUCUGUCAUCUCUUUUCUUUGCCAUGUCCAUGAGACCUUCUUAACUUAAGAUGACUCUUGUUUAUUGAUUUUCUGAAGUUUUUCAUAGUUAACUAAAUAUGCUUUAUACGUUAGAAAGCUACAUUUGUUCCGAAAAAGAAAGUUACUGUUUUCUGGUCAAAAAGUUACUGUUUUGAUAGGAGAAAAAGGUUACUAUUUUGAUUAGAGAAAAGGAUACUAUUUUGAUUAAAAAAAAAAAAACUUGCUGUUUUGAAUAGGGAAAAGUUACUUGUCUUGAAAGGAAAAUUUACCGAUUCGUGAAAAUUAAAUUCGUCAAAUCUGUGUCUGACUUCGUCGUUUGGCUAAUUUCUCUGUUUUGCGAGUUGCUCUUGUUAUAUGGAUAACUAAGUUAGUAAUCAUCUUCAUCCUCGUCUUACAUUUCAUUUUUGGGUUAUCAAACUAAAAAGAAAACGUAGUGAUGUUUCUUAUUAUUUAUUCAGUUAUGUUCGUUUGAACCUGCUUGUCUUCUGUUUGUUAUUAGAAUGGUUGAGAUGAGCUAACAACACUUUGGCAAAAAAUGGCAGUCUAACUUCUCAAACAUACCAGCAUCCUGUUGUCUUUUUUUUUUUUUAUUUUUUUUUUUAAAACUCCAUCCAUUAAUCUGGAGGGACUAUUUUUAUCAUAAUUCUAGGAGAAAACAGUACAUAAAGAUUUUGGCGCAAGUUGUGAGUUUCAAAAGCCAAAUUGCUAACCCUUUAGGAUGUAAACCUGCAUCUAAACAAGUGUUUGUAUGGAUUCUGAAAUGUUGCAAUAUUGAAAUAUAAAUGAGGUCACAAAGUAGUAAGAAUGUCAAGAUUGGUUUUAAAAUCUUCCUUGUGCUAGGUAUGUGUUAAUUGGUUCAUGUUGAAAUUUCGAGUAGAUUUGUUGUGAGUUUUGUCUUCUCGUUACUGCUUGUUUGAAAAUCACUACUAUAAGAUUUUGGAAAGGUUUUUAACUUAGUAGCAUAUCUUUUUAGCUAAAUCCUCACAAAUAGUGAAGGCGCGUUCUAGAUUUACAUUCUAUGAUUGCUUGUGCAGUACGUUUGGGCUUUAUGUCUAAAAGCUUUGCUUCGUAUAAUGUUCAAAUGAUCCAGUUUGAGAUUUUGUAAUAUGGAAAACAGAAAUGCAUUAUAGGGCAGUAGGUUGUCUGCUAUUUAAGUGUAUAAGAACAGAUCAUGGAAAAUUUGUUUGAAGCUUGGUCAUUGUUUUGUUUUCUCAUGUAUCCUUUUUUGACAAAGAAUAUCAAAGCAUAUAAAUUGUUAUGUAUUACCUGAGUCUGAAAAGACUUAUCCUGAAUUAGUGUUACGCUGUGUCGUAAGAUAAAAUGUGAGAUUUUGUUAUGAAACAAUAAAUAGUUCCUGUCAAACACCAUGUCUGUGAUCUGAACCAUCCUCUUUGGCUUUGUUCUAUUCAAGUCGCUAGGAUUGUUAUUGUCGGUUUUAUGGGAGGAACAACGUGUUGGUAAAUCUGGUUUGUCUAUUUUUAAAACAAACUGUAUGCUUAGUUUUUUUUUGUUUUUAUUGUUAGCAAGCCCUUUUCGAGAUAACAAAUUACAAGGAUUCAAAAUUUGUCGAGUUUGUUGAAGACUGUUUAUUUUUCUAAAUGUUUUUUUUGGAAGUUGGCUAAUAACAUGGGGCUUGUAAAGUAUGUUAAAAAUUACCAUUGAGAGUUGUUAAGGCUACAAAGGCUGUUAAGAGUUUUGUUUGGUUAAGAAUUUUUUCCAGAAUAUGAUUAACUCUUUAACAACUUCCUUGAAGUUCAGACUUUAAAUUCCUUGUUGGCAUUCUGGUUGUAUUUUUUCCUCUUGAACUACUAUAACUAGAUAAUUUUUGGUGUACCUUACCAAACCAUACGAAGAUUUAUGAGUUGUUCUUACUUGAGCAUUUAAGUUUGUUUGCUGCAUAACAUUAGUGACUGGUAUAAUAUCGUAGCUCCAUGCUUCAAAAGUUAAAGGAAGCGCACCAGAUUUGUUUAAUUUAUUUGAGGUUACUAAUUGAAUUCAUCUCUUAUUUAGAAGUAUUUGUUUCCAAGUUCUUAUGAUUGUACGCUUCCUUCUAGAUUAUAUGACGUUCAGUUAACUUUUUUUGUUUUUUUUUUGUUACUGAUAUCAUCGAGAUUUGCACCUAAUCCUUUUCUUUUCUUUCCUUUUACAUGAACACCAUGGGAGUUUGUUGGAGUUGUGGCUCAACCCUAAUUCUGCCCAGGUCAUAGGAGCAGUCAGCAGCAGAUUUAUUUGCUCGUGUCUAGCCGUCCCCUACUUCCGCGUCAAAAGAAUCCACGUCCCUCUUCCUCUCUUAAAAUUUUAUAUCUUUUGUAUUACUAUAUGUUUUUCGCACCCUUUGACUAACAUCUUUUAUGGGUUUGUAUUUGUAGUAUUUUGUUUCUUGCUUGUUUGUGAACUCGUGAAUGGCCGAGCCUUGUCAUUGGCCACUUCUCCUUAGAUAUAAAUCUUGGUUUUAGGAUA